rnacentral:rRNA from 1 species
UACGAAGGGGCUAGCGUUGCUCGGAAUCACUGGGCGUAAAGGGUGCGUAGGCGGGUCUUUAAGUCAGGGGUGAAAUCCUGGAGCUCAACUCCAGAACUGCCUUUGAUACUGAAGGAUCUUGAGUUCGGGAGAGGUGAGUGGAACUGCGAGUGUAGAGGUGAAAUUCGUAGAUAUUCGCAAGAACGACCAGUGGCGAAGGCGGCUCACUGGCCCGAUACUGACGCUGAGGCACGAAAGCGUGGGGAGCA